CUGGCAAACUAGCUUACCACCUGUAGUAACUGAGCAUUUAUUUAAAGUCAAGGAGCAUAUAAUAAGUUAACGGCAUUCCUGUUUUUUUGUGUUAACACAAGUUA